rnacentral:rRNA from 1 species
UGGGGAAUAUUGGACAAUGGGCGAAAGCCUGAUCCAGCCAUGCCGCGUGAGUGACGAAGGCCUUAGGGUUGUAAAACUCUUUCGUCGGGGACGAUAAUGACGGUACCCGAAGAAGAAGCUCCGGCUAACUUCGUGCCAGCAGCCGCGGUAAUACGAGGGGAGCUAGCGUUGUUCGGAAUCACUGGGCGUAAAGCGCACGUAGGCGGAUAGUUAAGUCAGGGGUGAAAUCCUGGGGCUCAACCCCAGAACUGCCUUUGAUACUGGCUGUCUCGAGGUCGAGAGAGGUUGGUGGAAUUCCUAGUGUAGAGGUGAAAUUCGUAGAUAUUAGGAAGAACACCAGUGGCGAAGGCGGCCAACUGGCUCGAUACUGACGCUGAGGUGCGAAAGCGUGGGGAGCAAACAGGAUUAGAUACCCCCGUAGUCCCUGAGCGGGCUGGCAAGGCGCAU